rnacentral:rRNA from 2 species
AGCUCUGCGAGUUUGCUCCCAUAUUGUUGCAGUUAAAACGCCCGUAGUCUGAAUUGGCCAGCAAUGGUCGUACGUAUUUUUACGUUCACUGUGAACAAAUCAGGACGCUUAGAGUAUGGCUACAUGAAUGACUCAGCGCAGUAUGAAGUCUUUGUUUUCUUCCGAAAACAAGCUCAAUGAGAGCCAUCGGGGGUAGAUCUAUCUCAUGACGAGUGGUGGAAUACUUUGACUCAUGAGAGAGAAGCUGAGGCGAAGGCGUCUACCUAGAGGGUUUCUG